ensembl:snRNA U2 U2 spliceosomal RNA
AUCGCUUCUCUGCCUUUUGGCUAAGAUCAAGCGUAGAAUACUAUGGAAGAGCCAGCUCAUUCUGCAAGGGUAUGGCAUAAAUUUCAGUCAGUAAGUAUAUCUAUCUCUAGGACACUUCUGGUAGUACUGCAUAUAUGAAAUUACUGGAGUGAAGAGCAAGAAUUUUCCACUGAGAUCCAAUCCUAUUCUGCCAUU